rnacentral:rRNA from 1 species
CGGGUACCGGGGAAUGAGGGUUCGAUUCCGGAGAGGGAGCCUGAGAGACGGCUACCACAUCCAAGGAAGGCAGCAGGCACGCAAAUUACCCACUCCACCACGGUGGGAGGUAGUGACGAGGAAUAGUGGGGUCACUCUGGUAGAGUGUCGCCCGUAAUGAACGCAGGCCAAGGAUAACGGUGAUGUGCUACUGGAGGGCAAGUCUGGUGCCAGCAGCCGCGGUAAUUCCAGCUCCAGUAGUGUAUAUCAACAUUGUUGUGCUUAAAACGCUCCUAGUUGGGUUGGAGGUGUGAGAGCAGGGCGACCUGCGAGCCGUCUACUGCUUGACGGUGGUAGAUGGCGACGCCUCUAUGGCCGGGUCGAGUGUCACUUUGGUUAGUGGCACACCGGGCCGGCCGCGGGCCUUGAGUAAAAGAUGGUGUCCAAAGCAGGCAGGUGCCGGCGUAAAAUAGCAUGGAACGAAUAGAGGCGGCCUCUAGGGGUAGAGGGCUGCGAGGUCAAGAGGGCCGCUUGCGGGCACUGGUACUUUGGGGCGAGAGGUGAAAUUCUUAGACCCUCAAAAGACGGGCGGGUGCGAAGGCGUUUGUCAAGGGCGUUUUCAUUGAUCAAGAACGAAGGUCAAAGGAUCGAAGACGAUCAGAUACCGUCCUAGUUUUGACGGAAAACGAUGCCAGCGGGGCGGCGGCGUGAGAGGUCUCUGGCGUCUCACGGCGCGGCCCAAGGGAAACCGAGCCUCCGGGCUGCUGGGAGAGGUAUGGUCGCAAGACUGAAAUUUAAAGAAAUUGACGGAGAGGCACCACCAGGAGUGGAGCUUGCGGCUUAAUUUGACUCAACACGGGGAAACUCACCGGGGCCUGACAGCGCGAGGAUUGACAGAGUGCGGAUCUUUCACGAUUCGUUGGAUGGUGGUGCAUGGCCGUUCUUAUUUGGUGGAGUGAUCUGUCAGGUCGAUUCCGGUAACGAGCGAGACUGCGGUCUUCAUUUCUCGUUGGUUGGCGUCCGCCGUUUGGGCCAGCUAGUUUAAACUAGUGACCUCGGCAGCGGUCAACAGCCGAUGGAGAGACAACUGGUGCAAGCCGGCGGAGGCGCAGCAAUAACAGGUCUGUGAAUGCCCUUCAAUGUCCCGGGCUGCACGCGUGCUACAAUGCGAGCCGAAGAGGGCUGCUGGCCCGACAGGGCGGGCGAAGCGGCAAUGGCUCGCGCGAUGGGGAUUGAGCCUAGUAACCGUUGCUCAUGAAAGAGGAAUUCCUCGUAGGCACAAGUCACCAGCUUGUGUCGAAUACGUCUCUGCCUCUUGUACACACCGCCCGUCGCUACUACCGAUCGAGUUGGUUCCAGAGCGGGCCGGAGCGCGAGGCCCUCGUCUCUUGGUGAGGGGCUAGCGUCAAGGCCGA